rnacentral:rRNA from 1 species
AUGCCUCCGGGAGGCAGCAGUGGGGAAUAUUGCACAAUGGGGGAAACCCUGAUGCAGCGACGCCGCGUGAGUGAGGAAGUAUUUCGGUAUGUAAAGCUCUAUCAGCAGGGAAGAAAAUGACGGUACCUGACUAAGAAGCCCCGGCUAACUACGUGCCAGCAGCCGCGGUAAUACGUAGGGGGCAAGCGUUAUCCGGAUUUACUGGGUGUAAAGGGAGCGUAGGCGGCCUGGCAAGCCUGAUGUGAAAUACCGGGGCCCAACCCCGGGGCUGCAUUGGGAACUGCCAGGCUGGAGGGCCGGAGAGG